GGGCGUGUGGCGCAAUGGUAGCGCGUUACUUUCCGGGGUACCCUCAUCAACUCGCUGGUAAAGGUUCUGGGUUCGAGUCCCAGCAUGCUCG